GAGCUGCAGCUGUUUGUCUGUUCGACACAGGCUUGGGGCCGACGGGGGAGACGGAGCCCCAGGAGUGUUGAAGCCUGGAAAUCCCCUCCCCUUCCCCCUCCCCCCUUUACAGCAUCCCCCUCCCUCCACCCUUUCCCACUCUGAUAAUCUGGCCAUGACUAGCAGAAGCACAGCUAGGCCCAAUGGGCAACCCCAGGCCAGCAAAAUUUGCCAGUUCAAAUUGGUCCUGCUGGGAGAAUCUGCAGUGGGAAAGUCAAGCCUGGUAUUACGUUUUGUCAAAGGGCAGUUCCAUGAGUACCAGGAGAGCACCAUUGGAGCGGCCUUCCUCACCCAGUCCGUUUGUCUAGAUGACACAACAGUCAAGUUUGAGAUCUGGGACACAGCUGGGCAGGAGCGAUAUCACAGCUUAGCCCCCAUGUACUACAGGGGUGCCCAAGCUGCAAUCGUGGUUUACGACAUUACUAAUCAGGUAAGUGAGCUAAGAAGACUGUCGUUGUUGGCCAGGCAUGGUGGCUCACGCCUGUAAUCCCAACACUUUAGGAGGCCAAGGCGGGAGGAUCAUGAGGUCAAGAGAUUGAGACCAUCCUAG
rnacentral:sRNA from 1 species